GGAGGGUCUGGGUCAGGGAGAGAUGGUCUGGAUGGGUUACCAGGAAAACCUGGAUCCAAGGGUGACCCAGGAAAGACAGGCGAGCCAGGAACGAGGGGAGAGAAAGGAGACCAAGGCAGGGUGGGGAUUGCUGGAAUGCCUGGAUUACCUGGGACCCCAGGUAGACCUGGCAUUGAUGGAAAGAGAGGUCUGGCUGGAAAAGAUGUGAGCAUUUUUUUCUCUUUGUCAAAUAAUUUUGUAUUUUUUUUAAUGUUCCUGCUCUGUUCCAGCAUUUUAAUGAGAUCACUUAAAAAAUACCCACAAAUACCCCAAAAUGAAGUCCUCCUAAUUCUUCUCUUGAGACAGGGAGAGCAAGGACAAAGAGGAGAUGAUGGCAAAAAGGGUGAUACAGGUGAAUCGGGAGCUGAGGGUAAAAAAGGGGAAUUGGGUGCUCCGGGCCCACCUGGUACCCAUGUUCUGGUCACUCAACAAGAGGGUGCCACCCUUGAAGAGAUGAGACAGGCAUUCCCUUUGCCAAUGGGACCUCCUGGGGCUAAAGGUCCACCAGGGAUGAAGGGUGACGCUGGUCUUCCAGGGAAAGCAGCUGACAUGAAGAACAUUGAAGUAAUGUUUGAAGACUAUGGCAUAAGGCUGCCCUUGCUGAAGGCACUGAUUGACAGGCUGCUGCAGGACGGCAUGGAGGAGCUUCUGCAGGAGCUAACCACCUCUAGAAGAGUCAAUGAGAAGGAGAAACACGGCUCCAACAUUAUCACUGACUACACAAGAACUGUAAAGUAUGAGAUCUCCAAGGAGCCUCUGACAGAGAUGGACACCAUAGAGGAGGCAGUUGACUCUGACCUAGACAGACAGCUACCAGAACCUAACUCUGAUGCUUUGAAUGAAACGGCGGAGGGCCCCACAUUCUGGAGCCUCACCCCUCUUAAUGGUCUUAAUGGGGUCCAAGACGUGGGGAGGAUAGAGAGCACCUCUAAGGGGAUAGAGGGGACACUGACAGUAGACGAGGACUUCAGUGAAGCUCCCUCCCCCAAGUUGGCUUUAUCAAACUCAACAUUUAACAAGACAACGUCUGAAGAGGUAAGGGGUACCUCUUCUACUCAAACCCCACAGCCAAACACUGGCUCUACUCAAAACCACAACCAAACAGUGGCUGUCAAAUUAACUUUUAAAAGUGAACUAUGA
rnacentral:lncRNA from 1 species